UUGGUCGCCCAGCACGCCGCCUCCCCACAACUUGCCAGCCACGCCAUGCCCUCGCUGCACCUUGCCUCGUCGCGGUCGGAACUGUGCCUCCUCGUCGUGCGCAGGGCAACACGCGCCCUACCCUCGAUGUCUGGGCUGCUGCGCUAUCGUCGCCAUGGAGUAUCGCUGCUGUUCAUCGAUGUCCACACCUCUCUGCCGGCGUUCUUCUUCUUCCGGUGA
rnacentral:misc_RNA from 1 species